CCUACGGGUGGCAGCAGUGAGGAAUAUUGGUCAAUGGACGCAAGUCUGAACCAGCCAUGCCGCGUGCAGGAAGACGGCUCUAUGAGUUGUAAACCGCUUUUGUACGAGGGUAAACGCAGAUACGUGUAUCUGUCUGAAAGUAUCGUACGAAUAAGGAUCGGCUAACUCCGUGCCAGCAGCCGCGGUAAUACGGAGGGUUCAAGCGUUAUCCGGAUUUAUUGGGUUUAAAGGGUGCGUAGGCGGUCGGAUAAGGUAGAGGUGAAAUCCCGAGGCUCAACUUCGGAAUUGCCUCUGAUACUGGUCGGCUUGAGAGUAGUUGCGGUAGGCGGAAGGUAUGGUGUAGCGGUGAAAUGCUUAGAGAUCAUACAGAACACCGAUUGCGAAGGCAGCUUACCAAGCUACGACUGACGUUGAGGCACGAAAGCGUGGGGAGCAAACAGGAUUAGAUACCCGAGUAGUC
rnacentral:rRNA from 1 species